UGGGUUGUGGCUCAGUGGUAGAGUGCUUCCCUAGCCCAUGUGAAGCACUGGGUUCGAUCCCCAACACCCCAU
rnacentral:tRNA from 1 species